UGGGAAACGGAGCAACAUUCUGGAGACGACAAUAGAUAGCUUAAGAUCUCUGACAGCUAGGACGUCAGGGUUAAGCAGAGGACUGGGACUAGGAUGUCGUCUUAAAUAAGUAAAUAGAUAGCUUAAGAUCUACGACGUCGACGUCAGCUAGGACGUCAGGGCUCAAUCUCGUUCCCCGAGGCUGCGAUCCUCGGGAAGGAACGCGAGGCUCUGGGAUAAUCCGUUUCAGGGAG